UACGUAGGGGCGCAAGCGUUGUCUGGAAUUAUUGGGCGUAAAAGAGCGUGUAGGCGGCCAGACAGGUCCGUUGUGAAAACUCGAGGCUCAACCUCGAGACGUCGAUGGAAACCGUCUGGCUAGAGUCCGGAAGAGGAGAGUGGAAUUCCUGGUGUAGCGGUGAAAUGCGCAGAUAUCAGGAAGAACACCCGUGGCGAAGGCGGCUCUCUGGGACGGUACUGACGCUGAGACGCGAAAGCGUGGGGAGCGAACAGG
rnacentral:rRNA from 1 species